rnacentral:lncRNA from 1 species
UCUGCACAGAGUAUAAAGGGGUUGAUAACACUGGUGUAAGAUGUUCAUCAUCCUUUCUCUUUCUCUUUGUGAAAGCUUGUCCAAGAAGAAGAGAGACUUGCUUCGUCUUGAGGCGCAAGAGAAGAGGAGACGGGAGGCUCCAGGGGAGAAAGACCAGUUCCCUGGGAAGACUCCCAUCUUUGCAAAACCCUACAAGACUGAUAACAAAGAUGCGCUGUCAAGGCGCAUUAGGAACGUCCUCGGCGAUUACAAUGAUUUCAAGGAGUACAUGAGGAAGAAUUUGCGGAAGGUCAUAUGGUUUCCAAGGAAGUUCAAAUCCAGGUCACAGACCAGGAGCAACUGUCGUGAACCGAGCUCCAGACAAACCAAGACAUUUCAGAGCUCAGUGACAGAACAACCACUUAAAACUUCUAAGACAUCAGAAUCAUCUGAGUUUGAACCUUUCCUGGAGAAAACCAACUCCACGGAUGUGCCGUCCAUUGAGGACAUUUUGAGGGAAAUGACCUUCUCAUUUUCACGUCCUGUGUCACCUCUGCAGUCGCCUCCAAAAGCAGAGCCGUGCUCAGAAAAGGUAAACCAGCCCCUUUUUGCCAGGGCUGUUGGUGAAGUACAAGAGAGCUUUCUGCCUCUUGCAUGUGCUUUCACCUGCUUUGGUGCCUAGUGGAUCUCGAGUUGUGAAACUCUUUGAAAUGCAGAGGCAGCCUGGGCCUUUGCAGGCAAAGCUCAGCUGCUUCAACAGCAACUCAAGGAAAGCAACUGCCCUUCUGAAGGGGCUUUUAGUCCUUACCAGCAUUUUGUUAUUAAUAGUCUUACAU